GGAAAGUUUGCGGUUUCUUCAGUUCAGUUCAGUUAUACAUCACAUACAAGCAAACGCAAGGAAUUUUUUUGUUCGUUUUUCAAAAUGAAAUCUUUCAUCGUGGCUGCCUUGGUUGUUGUUUUUGCCGUUGUGGCCAUUGCAGAGGAGAAGCGAUUCUUUAUUAAGACAUGUAGGUCUGAUCAAGAUUGUCAAGAGGGGCAAUGCUGCGCGAAGUACUUCCUUGUUGGCAAAUGCCAAAACUACCUCCAAGAAGGAAAGUUAUGUCUUGGGGGUUUUGGGAAGCGUGGUUUGGGUUUCAAGCCAAGCUGUGGCUGUGCUGAAGGGCUAUCCUGCCAAAAGUCUGGCUUUUUUCUUCGAAAAUGUGUGGUGGAGGAAGGAUCUGGCGAGAUGUAGUUCCAAAAGUUAUACCAUCACAUAACUCGACUCGUGGACAUGCAUGCUAAAAAUAAAAUGAUCAAAUAAAGUUGAAAAGUAAUUAAAAAUGAAAUUCGCAAUUACCUUUCAAUUCUUUAUCUCUGCAAAAGGCUUCGGAAAACGAUUACGGCAUGCAACAAAACCAGAUUCCGAGUGAAGCUGGACAAACCAACGAUCUUUGAUGUUCAGCCGCCUUGUCAGAAAUGGACAAACUAGAAAACAAUAAACUGACAUUGUUUCCUUGUAAGCAAUGUUGACUGGAAGUAGACAAACCAGGAAA